rnacentral:misc_RNA from 1 species
UGGCUCUCGCAUCGAUGAAGAACGCAGCGAAAUGCGAUAAGUAAUGUGAAUUGCAGAUUUUCAGUGAAUCAUCGAAUCUUUGAACGCACCUUGCGCUCCUUGGUAUUCCGAGGAGCAUGCCUGUUUGAGUGUCAUUAAAUUCUCAACUCCGAUCGAUUUGUUUCGACUUCGGAGCUUGGACAUGGAGCGUGCCGGCGUCGGUCGGCUCCUCUUAAAUGCAUCAGCGGAAUCUAACGUUUUGGAUGUCAGUGUGAUAAUCAUGUUGCGCUGUCCUCCGAUCCGAAAAGCCCGCUCACAAUGGUCUUCGGACGACUUCAUAUCAAAUUUGACCUCAAAUCAGGUAGGACUACCCGCUGA